rnacentral:rRNA from 1 species
CAGCAGUCGCCGCGGGAAAACGUAGGGUGCAAGCGUUAAUCGGAAUUACUGGGCGUAAAGCGUGCGUAGGCGGCUUCUUAAGUCGGAUGUGAAAUCCCUGAGCUUAACUUAGGAAUUGCAUUCGAUACUGGGAAGCUAGAGUAUGGGAGAGGAUGGUAGAAUUCCAGGUGUAGCGGUGAAAUGCGUAGAGAUCUGGAGGAAUACCGAUGGCGAAGGCAGCCAUCUGGCCUAAUACUGACGCUGAGGUACGAAAGCAUGGGGAGCAAACAGGAUUAGAUACCCCCGUAGUCCCUGUCUCUUAUAC